rnacentral:lncRNA from 1 species
AUUGUCUCUGUUUGGAAGCUGUGGACACUAAAGGAGUUAGGGGCUUGCCCAGGCUCAUAUAGCGGGACCAACUCUGAGCCUGUUGGUCUCCAGGACUCUAUUUUCACUUUCAUCAACUGAUCUACGUUGACUAAGGUAUCUUUUGGAAGACCCAGAACAGAGUGACCAAGACGGUUCUUUCCUCAGAAUAAGUGUUUAUUAGCUUGAGAGUCUAAUGCCCUCGGAGCCCGAGGUCACUCAUUUCUUCAUUCGACAUAUUCUAUAUGGCAGUUGGCAUUCGUUAUAGUUUGGACCUGAAGUCCCCCAGCCAAACUCAUGUGUCGAAAGCAUGGUCCCCAAUGCGGCAAGGUUCGGAGGUGGAACUUUUAGGAAAUGAGGGGCUGUAACCUCACCAGUGGAUUAAUCCAUUUGGUAAGUUAAUAAUUUGAAUGGACAAUUGAGUAGUAACUGUAGGCAGGUGGGGCGUGGCUAGAGGAAGUAGGUCACUGAGCAUAGCCUUGGAGACUGUCUGUCCCUGACCCUUUCCUGUCUUUUUCUUUCUCUGCUUGCCAGCUGCCACGAGUUGAGCAACUUUCUUCCACCACAGCCUUCUGCCAUGAUGUUUUCGCCCUGGCGCCUCUGACCAUGACCUGAACCUCUAAAACUGUGAUCCAUGGUAAACCCUUCCUCGAUGGGCUUGGUGGCUCACGCCUGGAAUCCCAGCUAUCAGGAGGCUGAGGAAGGAGCAUUGUGAGUUUGAAGCCGAUCUGAGCAAUUUAUCAAGACCUUGUCUCAAAAUAAAAUAUAUAAAUAGCUGGGGGUGUAGCUCAGUGGUGAAGCAGCCCUGGGUUCAAUCACCAGUGCUGCAAAAUAAAC